UUUGCCUAGGUCUUGGGACCCCCUCGUCCACUUGGGAUUCUGCCAGGACUCUAGCCUACGGCUCCCUGUGGACAGAAGGCAUUGGGUUCCAAGUUGGCUCUGGGUGGACCAAGGGCUGGUCUCUCCUGGGAGCGCCUGGGGUGUGGGGCAGUGAAGCCAGCCACUGUCCAGGCUGAGAACUGUGCCACCGUGGAGACCCUGCAGCCACCCCACCUGCCGCAGAACUUCCUAUGGGCUGGGAGGGGUGGGCCAGUGUCGGGGAGGGGUCACUGUUUCUACCUUGGUUCACCUGGGUCAGCUGGCUGACUCCUUCCUCACCUGGAGAGUGCUCGAGGACAGCAAGAAAAAUGAGGGACUUUCAGGGGCAGCUGUGUUUUCUGACUCAGUCAUAAUGCCCCUAAAAAUCCUUAUUGUUCUUGCAGUGUGCAUCAGGCGGCGGCCCCAGCCCAGCCCUUGCCCACCUGGCCUCUCUGGGAUGGGGAGAACUACCUGGGGUUCAGCUGGCGUGCCCUCCCACGUUUUCCUGAAAUGAGACUGUAGGGGGAUUUGCUGAUGAGUUAAUGUUUUGUUGGUUGAUGCAUUGAUUGGCAUGUACUUUUAUAAUUUCUUUUUUGGUGGAGGAUGGGGUAGGCUGGGCACUGAGACACUCGCGCACAGAUCGGAGCCCAGGAGAAUGCAAGGUCUCCCUGGUUUGUGCGCAGUGAGGGGUCCCUAGAACUUAGCUGCACAUUACAGCCUGAGGAAGGGGAGCUUCAAGGGCAGGUGUACCCAGGGCUAGGUCAUGUCCUACUCUUGAUGACCCCAUGGACUGUAGCCUGCCCAGUUCCUUUGUCCAUGGAGUUUUUCAGGCAGGAAUACUGGAGUGGGUUGCCAUUUCCUUCUCCAGGGGAUCAUCCCGACCCAGGGAUUGAACCUGCGUCUCCCACAUUGGCAGGCAGAUUCUUUACCACUGAGCCACCUGGGAAGCCCCAUUUAGGGGCACUGUGUUUUAAAACGGGAGGAGCCUCAGUGUGCACCGCUGAGCUGGCCGUUUUGCAAAUCUGCCUGCAGUGGACCGAGGUCUUCCCGCAGCUGUUGCCCCUAGAGCCUGCUUUCUCUUGGGCGGGUGGUCUCUACCCUGUCUCACUUCCUGGGUCUCCACCUUGCCCAGCAGGUGCCUCAACCAGUUAUUUUGGACGUUUUGGGUAGAACUGGGGUUCCUGGGGGAUGGUCAAGCAGAAAUACAAGUUGGUGACAUGUCUUCCAGAACACAAGAACGCCAUUCAACAAAGAUGUCACUAAACGCCACAGCCACACAAUCAUCCGCUCUGGCUGAGGCUGGGCAGGUGGCCAGCCCACAGAUGGACGGACAGGGAGGUGGCAGGGCAGUAAGCAGGGCUGAGCCUGCUCCCAGGGGCGCCCCUCCGGGGUCUCACUGGCCUCCCAGGUCAGUCGAGGAAUUCAUCCUUAAGGUAUUGCUCAGGCUCCCUCCCCAGGUGCCGACUCGCACGUUCCACUGUUCCACUCGCUGCAUGUGGACUCUGGCCGCCAGGAUCCUCCUUCCUCCUGGCCAGCCCCAGCUGCCCACUCCUCCUCGGGCUCCUGUGAUCCGGAUAGCUGUCUCCAUCCCAGCCCCGGAGACAAUUUUUAAGGAGCUUCAACAUUCUUCUGUCCAGGGGAAGGGACGGCUCCAAGCCCACCAAGCUCCUCUGUCCAUGGGAUUCUCCGGGCAAGAAUACUGGAGCGGGUUGCCAUGCCCUCCUCCAGGGGAUCUUCCUGACCCCGGCACUGAACUCACAUCUCUUAGGUCUCCUGCGUUGGCAGACAGAGGACCGAGGCUCAGGAGACUCCCCAGAGGACACACAGCAAGGAUGCGGCCAAGCUGGGGUAUAGACAUGCAGUUUCUGACUCCAAGGCCAGUGCUUUCUGUAAUUGCUAUUUAUAGUAAGCAUAUGUCGUUAGACCCAGAUGUGGUCAUCACAGCCUCCUGAGGUGGGUGGGUAAACGCCACUGUCUCACGGAGAAGGUGUCUGCCCCCUGGGGAGACGGGGUGGUUGGCCCCUACUCCCCCAAAUGCCGAGUGUGUACGUGGCCAGCUUAGAUCCACAGUCUGCCCCCAUCAGCCUGCAUGCUGCCGAGGAUCCCAGUUCUGAGCAGGGCAGGGUUUAACCCUAUUUGCAGACCUCGCAAAAGGCAUGGCCCAGGUCUCACAGCUGGGGGGUGGCGGAGGCCCACCGGUCCCUGCUCCUUGCCGGCAGGCUGACACAGAGCCUGUGUGGGGUUUGCUCAUGGGGCCCUGCUCUGAGCUGGCGGCCCUCGGGGUCAGGAUGCCUGCUGGGGGUGCCUCCCUGCCCCUCCCUUGUUCCUGCAGAGCUGGACUCCCGGAGCCUGGCCUGAGAGCUGCCUGGGCAAGCUGCCAGUGCAGGGAAGUAGCGGGCAGGCACAGUGUUGGCUCCAGGAAGUGUCUCUGUUCCUGGGCCGGUCUGCAGGACUGGAGGGCCUGGACAUAACAGCAGAGAUGAGAGCUGAGGGCUAAGCACGCCUCCCGCCAGCCCCCCCAGGCUCAGCUGCUCCGGGCCGGGGCCGUGCCUUCCCUUGCUGGGCCUGGGCUCUCUCCUCCGUCUGGCUCCCGCCCUCCUCCCCACCAGCUCUGUGCUGCCAAGUACACGCUCUCGGCGGCAACGACAUCCAUUUAACCUGCUUCCCAGAAGACAGCAUGGUUACGCGGGCCGGCUCAGCCAGCACCAUGGUGGGAGAUGGGGAGGGGGCCCCCUCAGCUUGGUCUUCUCUUGCCCAUAUUUCUUAGGGAUCUGGGUGUGUGUCGGGGGGGUGGCCCUAAGCAACCUUGCUUACCUGGAUCAGAAGUAACCUCAGCUCAACUGGAAGCCUUGAGCAGCCACACUAAAGACAGAACUUUGAGAUCCUGGAGUUGGUGGGUGUUUGUAUUAGGGGCAAUCAUUUAGCCUGAGGCUGAGGGUAAAGCUAGCUUCCCUAAGUAGCUCAGUUGGUAAAGAAUCCACCUGCAAUGCAGGAGACCCCGGUUCAAUUCUUGGGCCGGGAAGAUCCCCUGGAGAAGGGACAGGCUACCCACUCCAGUCUUCUUGGGCUUCCCUAGUGGCUCAGUUGGUAAAGAAUCCGCCUGCAUUGCAGGAGACCUGGGUGCGAUCCCUGGGUUGGGAAGAUCCCCUGGAAAAGGGAACAGCUACCCACUCCAGUGUUCUGGCCUAGAGAAUUCCAUGGACUGUAUAGUCCAUGGGGUUGCAAAGAGUCAGACAUGACUAAGUGACUUUCACUUGGGUAAAGCUGCCUCCCCUGAGCCUGUUGCUGCGUUUGUUUUUUUUUUAAUGUUUAUUUUUUUGGCUGCAUUCUAUCCCUGACAAGGGAUCAAACCUGGGCUCCCUACUUUGGGAACCCAGAGUCAUAGCCACUUCACUACCAGGGAAGGCCCACCGCGUUCCUUUAAUAGCCAUAAUAGAACGCUCUAGCCAUAUUCUGAACGCACAAGUUGUGGUUCCUUCUCCCCUCCCCAGAUACUUCACUGGGGAACCUGGGGAGGUGUCAGCGUGGAGAGCGUGUUCAUUUCAUGCCAGCUGUGCUGUGCUGCUCAGGAAGCGAGUGUAGGUCUUCAGGCAUUGCAUAGUGUCUUCUGUUUGUGAUCUCUACAAAGAUGACCUUUCCUGCAAUCUCCUCUCUGGCCCUCCUGCCCUGGCCAGACCCUGUUAGGAUGGUGGUUCUGAACCGAGAAGCUGGCCCCUUUGCGCCUCUUGUCUGGCCCUCGAGGCCCAGGGAGGCAUCCUCCCCCUCAUUGGGGUUCAUCCUACAAGUCCAGAUGCCGUCAGCUCCAGGGCCUCCCUCUGGGCCAGAGCUCGUCCCUCCCCACCAGCCUCCUUGGGGUGCAGAUGGACGGCCCAGCACAGUCAGGAAUAGCCCUCUGUUUGCCUUGGCUGGUGGGGAAGAGAUUACUGCUCACUUUCUGUUUUGACUCUUAUAUUUAGCUAACACACAGAGCCUGUGAGAUCGCAGAAAAGCAGCCUUGGGUCUUGAAUGAGUCUGGGGCCCGUCCCUGAUGGCCUGGCGCCUGUUGAGUGGAGGUGUCUGAAGUAGGCAUGAGUGAUAACACUGCCUUCUGGGUACAUGGAGAGAGGUGAGGACCAUCUGUCGAUUUUCCUGAUCCAAGGUCCUCUGCCCUUUCAUGUUUUCCUGUGGGGGUUACUCCUCCCAACCCCUGAGGUUUGCAUGGGGCCAGCCCCAUCCCCUGGCUUUAGAGGCUGGCAUGUGUCCCAGCUGGAAACUGAGCUGCCCUCCUUGGGAUUUCUGCAGCAGCCAUGGGGAAAGAGGCAUUCACUUUUCAUGGGAGUUGCUGGGUUGACGGAACUUCUGGUGACCACUCUCGUUCUUCACUUGAGGACGAAGCCAACAAAAAGGAAAGAAGCAAGAAGUGGGAAAAGUAUGCUGUCCAGAUACCAGCCCCUGGAGGUUGAGGAGAGCAUUUCCUCGAUGCUCAGAUUAUGGAUCAACCUGGGUCAUUUCUCCUGGUCCAACUGUGCUGAAGCCAGAUGCACCUCAGUUUUGUGGUUCAAUACAGCCUUCUCUUCGUUUGAGCCAGCUCACCACAGAAGAGAGUCCUGGCUGAUGCAGCUUAUCCACCGCACCCUUCAAAACUUCCAUGGCCACGCAGACUCUUCAGAGCUGGUUUUGGCGGAACACCUGAGUAUACCAUCUCCCCAGACUGCCGGCAUUCCGAUUAAAAGGAACUUUGCUUUCUAUCAACAACUGCUUCUUGGGUGUUGAUUUCCAAGCAGCUGGACUGAGUUUGGAAACAGCAGAUGAGACAGGAGGAUAAAUUCCUUCAUCCUCCAUCCCUUGGACCACUUGAGGCACAUUUUCCAGAUGGGGUUUGUUGUACAGUGGUUACACGUCACCUUGCUUUGCUUCCUGUUCUCCCCGACCUCCUUUCUCUUAUCCCUCCCUCUAGCUGCCCUGGAAUUCCACUUCCAAGUUAAUGUAUCAGCCCUUAAUCCCUUGCCAGAGGGCCCACUCUUGAGGGAACUUAGCAGUCUGACGCCUGGGUCUGCACUUCAUGGCCUCAGUGAAUGCUGACCAAGAGGACAGAUACACGAUGGAUCACGGCCAUGGGGUUGGGGACUGAGGAGGGAAUACGGAUAGUGCCAAAUUCACCAUCAGAGGUACCAGUGAUAAAGGUGUCCCCAUCAUCUCUCCUGUUCCAUUCACUGGGUCUAAUCAGUCAAAUCCUGACUCCAUGCUAUAGGUCAGAGACUGUGGCAUCCCCCACUAACCUGUGUCCAGUACGAAACAGUGCACACUCCUUAUCCAUCACUUGCGGGGUAUGUGAUGCUGGAAGGUGCUCAGCCUCUCUGAGUUGCCUUCCCCAUCUGUACAGUGGGGAUAAGACUGGGCUCACCACCUGAAACUGUGGAGAUGCCUAAUGGACACGAGGUUUGUGCUUAAAGCAGAGUACGGGGAGGGCAUCGUGGAGGCUACCUGUCCAAUAGUGAUCCUGCUCUCUUUUGAGAAGCACCCCUCCUUCCUUCUGUCCCUACUGGGUAAAUAGGGCUGUCCCACCCCUACUGCCAGAUCCAGGCCAAUCCACACAUCUCUACUGACCACAAGAUUGGAUCAGGCCUGGGCAUGAGACCCAAGUCAGACCAGUCCCUGCCACAGUUCCCUGAAGUUUCUGGAACAAUGAAAGAGGUGUUUGCUCUUUGCUUUUAGCCUGGAGCUACCUGAGGCCAUUUUUUAUUAUUUGGACAUGUGAGAAUGAACGUCAGUGCGG
ensembl:lncRNA